GAGGCCAAAUAAGAGGAUCCGAUAGCAUCUGAUGUCACAUCAUUUUCGGAAAAUAACAAGCAUAUAUAGAGAGGAGAGAAAAGAGAGCAAUUCCAACACCUUUUUGAUGUCUUGCAUGGCGGAUGCAUCCUACCAUCCAUUUGCUGGUCGCUGCCCUUCCAGCAAUUUGAUUCUCAUCACCAUCCCGUCACAUAACCCCCUUUGUAUAACAUAGAAUUAAGUUGGAGUUUUUAAGGUAAUGA
rnacentral:lncRNA from 1 species